rnacentral:rRNA from 1 species
UACGAAGGGGGCUAGCGUUGCUCGGAAUCACUGGGCGUAAAGCGCACGUAGGCGGCUUGUUAAGUCAGGGGUGAAAUCCUGGAGCUCAACUCCAGAACUGCCUUUGAUACUGGCGAGCUUGAGUUCGGGAGAGGUGAGUGGAACUGCGAGUGUAGAGGUGAAAUUCGUAGAUAUUCGCAAGAACACCAGUGGCGAAGGCGGCCGACUGGUCCGGUUCUGACGCUGAGGCGCGAAAGCGUGGGGAGCAAACAGG